CCUACGGGAGGCAGCAGUCGAGAAUCAUUCACAAUGGGGGAAACCCUGAUGGGGCGACGCCGCGUGGGGGAAUGAAGGUCUUCGGAUUGUAAACCCCUGUCAUGUGGGAGCAAAUUAAAAAGAUAGUACCACAUGAGGAAGAGACGGCUAACUCUGUGCCAGCAGCCGCGGUAAUACAGAGGUCUCAAGCGUUGUUCGGAAUCACUGGGCGUAAAGCGUGCGUAGGCUGUUUCGUAAGUCGUGUGUGAAAGGCGCGGGCUCAACCCGCGGACGGCACAUGAUACUGCGAGACUAGAGUAAUGGAGGGGGAACCGGAAUUCUCGGUGUAGCAGUGAAAUGCGUAGAUAUCGAGAGGAACACUCGUGGCGAAGGCGGGUUCCUGGACAUUAACUGACGCUGAGGCACGAAGGCCAGGGGAGCGAAAGGGAUUAGAUACCCGUGUAGUC
rnacentral:rRNA from 1 species